AUCCAGUUGACGAGUCCCAAACAGGGCGAAACGCACGUGUCCUGGAU
rnacentral:hammerhead_ribozyme from 1 species